CCUAACACAUGCAAGUCGAACGGAACUGUUUUGAAAGAUUUCUUCGGAAUGAAUUUGAUUAGUUUAGUGGCGGACGGGUGAGUAACGCGUGAGUAACCUGCCUUCAAGAGGGGAUAACAUUCUGAAAAGAAUGCUAAUACCGCAUGAUAUAUCGGAACCACAUGGUUUUGAUAUCAAAGAUUUUAUCGCUUGAAGAUGGACUCGCGUCCGAUUAGUUAGUUGGUGAGGUAACGGCUCACCAAGACCGCGAUCGGUAGCCGGACUGAGAGGUUGAACGGCCACAUUGGGACUGAGACACGGCCCAGACUCCUACGGGAGGCAGCAGUGGGGAUAUUGCGCAAUGGGGCAACCCUGACGCAGCAACGCCGCGUGAAGGAUGAAGGUUUUCGGAUUGUAAACUUCUUUUAUUAAGGACGAAAAAUGACGGUACUUAAUGAAUAAGCUCCGGCUAACUACGUG
rnacentral:rRNA from 1 species